rnacentral:misc_RNA from 1 species
GAUGAAGAACGUAGCGAAAUGCGAUAAGUAAUGUGAAUUGCAGAAUUCAGUGAAUCAUCGAAUCUUUGAACGCAUCUUGCGCUCCUUGGUAUUCUGAGGAGCAUGCCUGUUUGAGUGUCAUUAAAUUCUCAACUACACUGACUUUGAAUUCGUGUGGCUUGGAUUUGGGGGGAAAAUUGUUGUGGGCUUUUUGUAUAGUCUGCUCCCCUGAAAUUGAUUAGCGGUACCUUUGUGGAACUGUCUACAGGUGUGAUAAUUAUCUACAUCUUAGACAUCUGCUGGAAUGCUGCUUUCUAAACCUUACUUGUAUUGACAAUCUUGACCUCAAAUCAGGUAGGACUACCCGCUGAACUUAAGCAUAUCAAUAAGCGGAGGA